GCGAUUGUGGCGCAAUGGUAGCGCGUUGCCCUCCUAAGGCAAAGGUUUCGGGUUCGAGUCCCGGCGGUCGUU